rnacentral:lncRNA from 1 species
CACUUCCGGUUCCGGGGAACUACAGCUCUCCGCGGCCCUGACCUCCGUGGAUCUGCGGUUUCCGGCGUUCCGCUGUCACUUCCUGUCCUGGUGAACUGGAGUUCACCGCGGCCCCGACCUCCCCGGAUCUACGGUUUCCGGCGGUCCGGCUCUACUUCUGUCUCCGGGGAACUGCGGCGGCGCUAUCGGGGAAGCAGCGGCUGGGCCCGCAGCCGUUCCCGGAGCUGUGCCACGGGUGCCAGGAGGUGGGCGCCCGCCGAAGGAGGAAUUGCCCAGUCACGCCCUCGUGACCAGUGGUGCCUGCAUUCAGCCCUUCCCCGCGCCCCAAGUGUGAAAGUGGAAGGAUGAACCCAGUGGGGUGCGACACUGACAGGAGAAGGCAUUGAGCGGUCCUAGGAAAGUGACCAGGCUGGUGUCCCAGGAUGGUCCACACCUGGCACCUCUCCAGUCCUCUCAUGCCCUCCCUUUACACCGAGCUUCCACACUGCAGUCAGGUGGGCCUCCCUUUUCCCUUUGAGGAUGCAGAUUUCCUCAUCCUUUCCAGAGAGGGGUUGUAUGUCUGUUUAUCUCUUGCCACUUAACCUCAGCGGCUUCAAAUAAUAAAAAUCAUUCUAU